rnacentral:rRNA from 1 species
AUUGAGCGCUGGCGGCAUGCCUUACACAUGCAAGUCGAACGGUAACAGGUCUUCGGAUGCUGACGAGUGGCGAACGGGUGAGUAAUACAUCGGAACGUGCCCGAUCGUGGGGGAUAACGAAGCGAAAGCUUUGCUAAUACCGCAUACGAUCUACGGAUGAAAGCAGGGGACCGCAAGGCCUUGCGCGAACGGAGCGCCCGAUGGCAGAUUAGGUAGUUGGUGGGAUAAAAGCUUACCAAGCCGACGAUCUGUAGCUGGUCUGAGAGGACGACCAGCCACACUGGGACUGAGACACGGCCCAGACUCCUACGGGAGGCAGCAGUGGGGAAUUUUGGACAAUGGGCGAAAGCCUGAUCCAGCCAUGCCGCGUGCAGGAUGAAGGCCUUCGGGUUGUAAACUGCUUUUGUACGGAACGAAAAGACUCUGGUUAAUACCUGGGGUCCAUGACGGUACCGUAAGAAUAAGCACCGGCUAACUACGUGCCAGCAGCCGCAGUAA